UUUUUUUUUUUGGGGGGGGGGUUGUACGUUUUUGUCCCCGGCUCUGACCCUCGCUGUGUUUUGUCAUUGUAAAUCAUUUGGAUAUGUGACCAUUAAAGAGCAACAGUCUGCGCCCUGGCAAACGUCCCUGACCACCCCAAAUAGGACUUUGCACUUUGCGCGCAGUCUGUCAGUCCUCAUUCUCCCCCUCCAAUAGCUUUUUGCAUUUGCUCCCCCCCCCCAAAAAAAAUAUAUGAAAUAAUAACAACAAAUUAUUUUGACAAGCCAGGUUUCAGAGACUGACUUUAUUUCACUCCCUUGCUUGUUCUUCGUGACUUUUGACAGCAGAUUGACCGGCGACCAGUCCGGGGUGCGCCGACCAUACGCAUUCGUGAGGAUCUCAGCGAGGUGGGUGGGGGGGGUUCAUUGUGGGAUUUUUGCCCGAGAUUUAUUCUUUCAUUUUUUUUUCAAUCGCAUUACUUCCUCUUUUGUCAACUCUUUUAUUAUUUUUUUAGAAUAUUUUUGGGGGUGUCCACUCCCUUUGUCGAGUCAUUGUUUUAGCCCGGGUCUCUUUGUUUUGUUUUAUUCUCAGAGAAAACGGCGCACAGCCCGUCAAAUGUGGAAGCCCCCGCAGCUAACAUGACCUUCUUUUGAAUCAAUCUGUGUCGUGUCCAGACGUUCACCAUGGAUUUGGGGAUUGUGGUCCAAACCAAAUGCCGGGGCUCUUUGAAGCGGUUUAUGUGUUAAACGUGCUCACUUGUCACUUUGUCUCCUUUCUCAAGUCGUCCAGUGUGGUGGACAAAGAAGCGUCUGUGCUCUCUGCCCGUGGAAAUGAAUGGAAAUCUCAUUCGUGUUCAGACACCACGGGAAGCAACAACACUUGUUUUGCAAAGUCUUUUUAGGAAGGAAAAAAAUAGCACUCUACAAUAUUAUACUCUAUU